rnacentral:rRNA from 1 species
CAGCCGUAAACAAUGUGCGUUAGGUGUGUCGGUAACCACGCGUUACUGAUGCGCCGAAGAGAAAUCGUGAAACGCACCACCUGGGAAGUACGGUCGCAAGGCUGAAACUUAAAGGAAUUGGCGGGGGAGCACCACAACAGGCGGAGCCUGCGGUUUAAUUGGAUUCAACGCCGGACAUCUCACCGGAUAAGACAGCUGAAUGAUUGUCAAUCUGAAGGUUUUACAUGACUAGCUGAGAGGAGGUGCAUGGCGUAGUCGUGU